CCUACGGGUGACAGCAGUGGGGAAUAUUGCGCAAUGGGCGAAAGCCUGACGCAGCGACGCCGCGUGAGGGAUGAAGGUCUUCGGAUCGUAAACCUCUGUCAGCAGGGAAGAACGGUCACUGGGCUAAGCAGCAGUGAAUUGACGGUACCUGCAAAGGAAGCACCGGCGAACUCCGUGCCAGCAGCCGCGGUAAUCCGGAGGGUGCGAGCGUUAAGCGGAAUUACGGGGCGUAAAGCGCUCGUAGGCGGUAUGUCAAGUCAAGGGUGAAAUCCCCGAGCUCCACGUGGGAACUGCCUUUGAAACUGGCAAACUGGAGUGUGUGCGAGGAUAGUGGAAUUCCCGGUGU
rnacentral:rRNA from 1 species